GAACCGAGUGCCAGAGGGUUAAGAGAGGAUUCCAUGAAUCUGCUCCCGUGAAGAGGGAAGCAUCGAGACUCAGAGCAACCCCAGUUGCUCAUGCAACCACAGCCAUGAACUUGGAGCAUCUGACAAGGGCCCACCUCAUAAAGAACUUCACAUGGGGCCCUCAGCGUUGGAGAAGGGAGGCCAGAAAGAGAACGAGGAAAUGCAGCCCUGGCUUUUGAGGAACUGACGGUCUGAGGCAGGAGCAGAAGCAAAGAAAGAUCCUGAGAAGGCUCAUGAAGGAAUUUCUGUGCAGCUCACCUGCUGCGUUUCCACCGUGAGGAAGGCCUGCCUCGAGCCUCCUCACUCCCUCAAGCCAUGGGUUUUCUUUGCCAUCUACAACCUCAGUGAGUGGCUGGACAGAGUGCAAGGCACGGACGGCAGCCAUCAAACAGCACGGACCAGAAUGGGGCUCAGACUCAUUUGAGGCAAAAUCUGGGGCUUCAGCCUCAGGAACGCUGUGACUAACGCGGUCGCCUAUGGGCAGACGGAGAGGCUGCAUGGUGAGCAGUUCAGAGCCCAGAGCCAAACCGGGCUCGCAUCUCAGUGCUGCCACCACUUGUGGGAUCUUGGGUCAGUUACUGUGCUUCUGUCAGUUUGGGGAAAGGAAAUCCUGGGGCAGAAUACCUCCAAAAACUGAAAUUAGUCAAAGGGAGAAAUAAAG